AGUGAACGCUGGCGGUAGGCCUAACACAUGCAAGUCGAACGGCAGCACAGUAAGAGCUUGCUCUUACGGGUGGCGAGUGGCGGACGGGUGAGGAAUACAUCGGAAUCUACUUUUUCGUGGGGGAUAACGUAGGGAAACUUACGCUAAUACCGCAUACGACCUACGGGUGAAAGCAGGGGAUCUUCGGACCUUGCGCGAUUGAAUGAGCCGAUGUCGGAUUAGCUAGUUGGCGGGGUAAAGGCCCACCAAGGCGACGAUCCGUAGCUGGUCUGAGAGGAUGAUCAGCCGCACUGGAACUGAGACACGGUCCAGACUCCUACGGGAGGCAGCAGCGGGGAAUAUUGGACAAUGGGCGCAAGCCUGAUCCAGCCAUACCGCGUGGGUGAAGAAGGCCUUCGGGUUGUAAAGCCCUUUUGUUGGGAAAGAAAAGCAGCAGGUUAAUACCCCGCUGUUCUGACGGUACCCAAAGAAUAAGCACCGGCUAACUUCGUG
rnacentral:rRNA from 1 species